GAUCCUGGCUCAGGAUGAACGCUAGCUACAGGCUUAACACAUGCAAGUCGAGGGGCAGCAUUCCAGUUUGCUUGCAAACUGGAGAUGGCGACCGGCGCACGGGUGAGUAACACGUAUCCAACCUGCCGAGUAACUCGGGGAUAGCCUUUCGAAAGAAAGAUUAAUACCCGAUGGCAUAAUAGAACCGGCAUGGUUUUGAUUAUUAAAGAAUUUCGGUUAUCGAUGGGGAUGCGUUCCAUUAGGCAGG
rnacentral:rRNA from 1 species